rnacentral:rRNA from 1 species
UCCGCCAGGGUACUACAAGCGCAAGCUUAAAACCCAAAGGACUUGACGGUGUCUCACCCACCUAGAGGAGCCUGUUCUAUAACCGAUAAUCCCCGUUAAACCUCACCACCCCUUGUAUACCCAGCCUAUAUAUCGCCGUCGUAAGCUUACCCUGUGAAGGCCUAAAAGUAAGCAAAAUGAGCACACCCCAGAACGUCAGGUCGAGGUGUAGCCAAUGGAGUGGGAAGAAAUGGGCUACAUUUUCUAAUUUAGAAAAUACGGACAGUGCCAUGAAAUCUGGCGCUUGAAGGUGGAUUUAGUAGUAAAAA